UAGGUGACUUCCCUCUGAAGAUCUGUUAGACAUGCCCCAGUCAUCUUGGUUCCUUGGUGGCAGCUGUUCCACCUGGCUGUGUCCAGUCAGCCAUCUUGCCCUCCCUCCAGAAAUUCAAAAAAAAUUUCAGAUGAGAAAACUGAGGCACAGAGAGGUGAAAUAAGGAAUGAAAUAUUACUGGAUGAAAUAAUUAUACUGAUCCUAGCCUUAUUUUAAAAGGGCCCCCAGAAUGCUCUUCUCCAAGACUUAGAAAAAUCAAAUGCUAUCCAUCCCUCAAGAUACAUCCCUCCAGCCCCUCCUUGAAGUCUCCUGCAGCUAGAAGUAGAAGUAGCAUCUAUCCCCAUCUGGACUCCUUAGCACUUUGCUGUACCUGCCUUAGUCCCCAUCUCUUUACACACACACACACACACACACACACACACACAGAGUAUUAUAAUACUAUUACCUAUUAUAUUACAUUAUAUUAUUGUAGUUCUACAGGAACUACAAGGAAUUCUACUGUGAAUUCCUUAAGGGUGGGAUACAUUUUACAAUCAUCACUGUUUCUCUCAUUAGUUGUGGAAUCAAAAAAAUGAGUGCACGAUGAAAAAUUAUUCAAACACAUACAUGCUUUCAUUCCAAUUGAAAAUGUAAAAAUAUUACUGUUAAAACAAUAUUAAAGGACAUGUAAUACAAUUCAAAUAUUCCUACCAUGCACGAUUGUUUUCACUUCUUUGUGCCUCUUUCACCAUUUAUUUGUGUGCAUACUCAGCAUAUUUGUUUGUGUAACAGGAUGUUAAAAAUAGAAUUUGUUGCCUGUAGUUUUUGCUAAAGCUCUACUAGACUGGAACAGAACAAUAGGUGGUAAAUACUCCAUUCCUCAGUGAGAUGCUACCUACCUAUGCAGAGCUGGAAAAGAUUUUGCAACCUGAAAACCCAAUCCUUUCUGAGAUAUAAAAGAACAGAAGAGUCUGGAAGUGAUUUCUUCGGAGAAAUUCAUUUUCUUAUUCCAGAGAAGAAACUUCAAGCUCAGAAUAUUGGCUACUACCUGUGAUAAACAUUUAAAUUAUUGGAACGAGAGAGUUUUUAUAACUAAAUUUGAAAGAAGCAAUUUUUUUUAUCAAAGACCAACCCGAAGAUUCAUGACCACUACCUGUGAUUUCAUCCAUGUUGCAAGGAAAAUCCUGCCCCACUUCCCCAAUAGGAAGAGUGGUGGGGGAAUAAUAAAGUUGUUUUAUGAUGCAUCCUGUGGACUUCUACUCGACAGAAUGGUAACAUUCAACUGUAAUCAGGAUGAGCAAGCCACUUUAUUAAACUAAAAUUUUAAACUUUAAUAAAUAUAAUACAAACUGAAAAAUAAAAAUAAUUUUUCAACUCUACACAAGUAUGUUAACUGCAUAAACAGUGAGAUGUUACACAGGGCUGAGGCCUAUACUUCUUCAGUUUGUACAUUAAACGUCUCCAUGGAGGGUCAAUUGCAUCCUACCUAUUCUGACAGUUAUCAGGUAGCGAGAGAUUUGAGGAAGAGGCGCUUUUCUAAUCUGGGGUAGGAAAAGGAAUGAUACCAUGUAUCAUGAGAAGUAUUUGCACAUAGUGUGUCAAUUAAGCAAGUGCUCAGACUAUUAACAACAUUACUAUGUGAUGAAUGUUUAUACAGUGGAUUCAAAAAUAAGCUUCUUUCCAGAAAGCAGCUUAGUUUUCAUUAAUUAUUACCAGCAUCUUGGUAAUUAUUUAUUUAAUGGUUUAAAAGUUAAAGUUUCAAUCUAUAUUUGUUUUUUUAACAUCAGCCAAGGAAAUACAUGUCUGUUAUACUGCAUCUUUGGAAGUAUGCAAUAAGUGUAACUAUUGAAUCUAUAUUGAAGAGCCACAAGACACUGAAUUUAAUUGGACGAGACUAUUUUAUUUAGGAAGACAAUCAUCUCCUGUGAUCAGCUUAAGGUUUUUGUUUUGUUUUAUCUGGAACAAGCUAAGUUCAUAUUUAGAAAAUAAAGUUAGUUUUUUGGGUGCAUGAGUUUUAGAGUAAAUUAGUAAUUUAGUAAACUUUGACAUUUCCACUUUGUCUCCAAACACAUUUAAAUUCUAUCUGUCUGACUGAAGUUCUAAGGCAUUCUGUGGUUACUUAGAAAUGAUUCCUUAUAUUAAUGUUUACAAAUGCUAAAUUGUAUUUGUUAAAUACAUGUCUUAUUGCCUAAGAGUUUUCCUUUCUUAUAAGUUUAAUAUAAAUGUCUAGGAAAUAAGACUCCCAUUUAAUAGCUUAUAAAGAAUGCUGAUGUAUCAGCAGUGGCCUUGACAUUAUUGGAUACAAGUAAGAUCUACACUGAUGAUUAAAUCAAAUUGGCUAAGAUUAUUCGUUCUAAUAAAAGCACUGACUCCAUGAAGUUUUCUUGUGGCUGAAAUUAACAUUCGUGUUCCUACAAGCUCUUUAAAAUCUUAGUUACUGAAAAUUAUUCCUUUUGACCUAAUUUUUUCUUUACUUUGGAUGUAUUUGACAAGGUAGAGGUUAGGGAUUGGAGAGUAUGUAAAGAAUGAAAUAAAAUGUAGUCACUUUUAACUAUAUCCACAUA
rnacentral:lncRNA from 10 species